GCCCUGGGCCCGGCCCGCUCCGACUCUUUGGCCAAGAAUGGGCGCCGCGCUCAGGAGGGUUGCCGGUGCAGGAAGCAGGUGUUCUGCUUUAUGCCUUCGUGACCCUUCUGGCUCUCACAAGUUGUCAUAUUGAUGUACUCCCUUCCUAAAUGAAAACGCCAUCGGAGCGAGGACGUGACUUGAUCACCACCUUCUCCUGGGGGAGAUACUCAGAUGCUGGAUGAGAGACAAGUAUGCCUUUCUUUGGCAAAAUAGGAUGAUUUGACCAACGAUAUUAACCACCAGGUACUGGGUCAUUAUGGAAGGAAGCCAAGAAGAUACAAGGAGCCGAGGAAGGGAGCUUGCCUGAAUGGUACAAUUCCAAGGGCUAGCUCCUGAUCAAGGCCCGUCUGAACAGUGCAAAUCCAAGGGCAGGUUCCUGAACAAGGAAAUGCCUGCCUAUAUGGCACUAUUCCUAUGACAGGCCCUAGAAGACAAUAAGGCUCACCUCUGACCUAACAACAAAAAAAUGAAGGGGCUGCUUAGCAGCGCAAGAAAUGAAACUAUUUCUUGGAUAAUUCAGUCUCUUAUGUUAUUUGUUUUUAUUUUACUUUCCUGUAUUGAUUUGUGACUUAGUAAACUGAAAUAACAAUGGAACAAUAAGAGUUUCACCCUGGUAGAAUUCCCCCCCAUUCAAAUCUAAUUUAGUUAAAGUAAGAAAUUAUAUUCAUUAGUUUGUUAUAAGUAACAAUAGGUCUUAGAGUUAGGUAUUUGGAGUACACAAUAGGUUGAAAAUAGGUAUGCAUUAUUCAUGUUAAAAAUAUAAUAAUUAUAAAUCUUGUUUUUAAUUUCCUGGGAAGCUUUUAAGUUUUAAUAAAUUGGUUAAUUUAGAAAUAAAAAUAAUUUCUUAUUCUGUCCCCUUGCCAUAAUACUUUGAAGUUUUUUCCCUAGGUUUUAAUCUAAAAAUGAACUUUGUUAGUGUCAAUUCUUAUGCCUGUGACCUUUCUGACUGUUAAUGAUUAACUUAACAUAAUAAUAGGUAGUAACCACAAGAUGCUUUGUAUCAAAACUCCUUAUUUUUAUAUAAUGUUUUUUCCACAUGAUGUUUUGUACCCAUUAUAGUUUUACAUGAUGUAUUGUAUCUGUUGGUUUUAAUUGAAAUCCUUAGAACACAAUGUAUAUCUACUGUACCAUGUAAUCUAAAAGUUUAACCUUUAAAAAUAUGAUCUAAACACCGUGAUGUAAGUUACAAUUAAGCUGUCUAUAUAAAUUCUUACCUAUGCUAAUAAAAUUCGAGCAGUCCAGCUCCCUGAAAGAAGGGACAAAGAGGCUGUCUCCAUGUGCAUUCGUCAACACCAUCCAUCCCCGCAGGAACACCCUGGCUCCUGGAGCUGGACUCUGGCAGUAUUUGAGCUGAUUUUUCUAAUUUUUCUUACCUCCCUUGCCCACAUUGUAUGAAUUUGAUGCCUUUUUUUCCUUUUUCUUUUAACAUCUUCACAUUUAGA